UACGUAGCCGAAAAGGGGGCCUCAUCUCCUCGAGCCUCCAGCGGUCGUCGCGUUCGGACCUUCGCUUCCCGUGUCCACACUUCGGUGGGGAUAACCGGCGAGGGCCGUCGCGACGGCGGACUCGGAGGAUAGGGGGGUGGAUUUCCCUCCUCAGUAGGCAGUCGCGGCCGCUCGAGAGUUGUCUAAGACCCGGGAGUUGGGAACCGUCCGGCGAGGUAAUACUCGCCGGCGGGGACGCUCCCUCGAUUCUGGCGGACUCUCGGACGGUUGAUAAAAAAUGACGACGUAGAGGAGAGCAAAUCCCUCGUCGUACGCGGCUGUAAUGCGAUCGUUCAUCCGUCCCGUCUUGAAACACGGACCAAGGAGUCUAACAUGUACGCGAGUCAAAGGGUUGGCUAAACCCCARGGCGCAACGAAAGUAAAAAAGGGACGUUCUAUUCCAGGGACGCUCGUUGGGUCGAUCCGGACUCCUAUUGGUAUUUAUUAUUAGUAGGACCGGCGCAGACCCGGGGCUCGCCGCUACCUCUUCGAGACACGUCUCGAAGCGGGCGGCGGGCACCUAGAGCGUACAUGCUAGUACCCGAAAGAUGGUGAUCUAUGCUUGGCCAGGAU
rnacentral:rRNA from 1 species